rnacentral:rRNA from 1 species
CAGCCGCCGCGGUAAUACGAAGGGUGCAAGCGUUACUCGGAAUUACUGGGCGUAAAGGGUGCGUAGGUGGUUUUUUAAGUCCGUUGUGAAAUCCCUGGGCUCAACCUGGGAAAGGCAGCGGAUACUGGAAAGCUAGAGUGCGGUAGAGGGUAGUGGAAUUUCCGGUGUAGCGGUGAAAUGCGUAGAUAUCGGAAGGAACACCUGUGGCGAAAGCGGCUCACUGGACAAUAACUGACGCUGAUGCACGAAAGCUAGGGGAGCAAACAGGAUUAGAUACCCGAGUAGUCCCUGUCUCUUAUAC